UCAUGGUUGCUGUGAGACUGUGGGUGCAGUGUCCGCUGCUCCAGGAGGAGGCUCUCCCUCCCGCGCACAUUUGCGCGGAGAAAAACGUCUUUGUUUGUGACACCAUUUUUGUACUGCAGAUCGAGAAUAGGCAUCUGUCCUCUGCAGCCAAAGCACACUGCGCCCCCAAGCAAGUUCAUAGUUCGAGCCGCUAGAACAGAGUUCCAAGUCGUCUCCCUUGGUUUCAGGGCCGCAGAUUUCCAGUUGCAAGAGCCUGUGACUGGAGAAGUAUGAAAAUUGGAGAACUGUGAAGGAUAUCCUGCUCUAUUGCUGGUUUUGAAGUUUAAAAAAAAAGGUCAACAAUCCCGGACACAAGGCUUCCGAUGUGUGGGCGGGUCUCGGGGAUAAGCAGGAUGUAUGCAGACCUUAUUCCCAACAUAAUAUGUGGAAAUGUUGUUAAAACUUUUUGACUGUAGUCACAAGAUGUCGCAAAGGAUUUUGAAGCAGUUUGCAUGCCUGAGUUUUUCCUCUUUAGAAAGGGAUCUAAGCCUGGCGAGAUUGUGUCCACAGUGCCAAACUGUGUCAACUAUUCAGAAAUCCAGUGUGGGAUGCAGCAUAAAGUGGCAUUCAGAGGCAAAGCAGUGAUUUUCAAUAGUACUCGGUUUUAGUUUUCUCAAGAUCAUAUUCUGAUUUGCUGUCAGAGAAUGCUGAAGAAGCAAAAACUCAGCUGCAUUCUCCCUUCUUCACAUACAGACUUGGUAAUUAAAUAUUUGCUUUAGGAUGAUGUAAAUUUCAAUGUUGUACUUGUACAAGCAUAUUUGUACUAGUUGGCAUGUUCUGUGAUACAAUCCCUUGGAUCAUCAACUAAAGUACAUUGUUACAUUGAUGCCAGGGAUGAUGAGAAAUUGUUUUCAAUACCUUUUUACAUAUAUAUUUCUUUUCAGUUGGUAUUUCUUUUCCAUCUGGUGUUUUAUUAUAUUCCCUAUUUAUAUAGAUGAUUUGGUGGAAAGAUGUUAGAAUAAGUGUGUUGGCCUAACUUGUUUACCUAAACUCUAUAAGGUGAGAAUAAUAAAGAGAUGUAUGUGUGCACGUGUACUGCAUUCCUGCGUCAUGGAUUUAUCUGCUCAGUUUGCUCAUGUUUUUUUUUGUGCUAGAUUGAGAAAGGCCAAAAGGUGUAGCAAUGGCCAAUGAGUGGUUGUAGUACAUGAUGGCUCAACUAGAAAUAAAGGCUUGAUCUGUCGUGUGUUUUAUUUGGAAGAAGAUUCAACUGACCUUGGACCUGCUAGAUUUUUCUAUUCCAAAUGAGGAUUAUAAUGGUAAUACUAACUGUUCUGUGCAAGGCUAAAAAUUGAGAAUUUUCAUAAUGGUAGUGAUCAUUGCUUGCAUUAUUUGCCAUUCUGGAAAAAUAGCAUUGUUGAAGCUUUUUGUAGGUCCGUGGUGCAUGUCACAUGACCAAAAGCGAUGAAUCUCUUGAGGUAAAUGGAGCAUCAGAUCUCUUUAGCUUUAGUAGACAGAGACUUAUUGGGAAUGGUGGUCCUUCUGCAUUCCUGUAAAUUUGUUGAUUCAUUUUGAUUUGCCAAUAAAAAUUUGGGUCAUCAGAAUGGCUUUUCAUUGUCUCAUAUCCCAUCAGACAACCGUCUUAUUCUUCUGGUCCCCAAUGCGGACACUGCAUUUGAUGGCAAAGCAUUUUCUUGGUUGAUUUUCAUUA